rnacentral:rRNA from 1 species
ACGUAGGAGGCGAGCGUUGUCCGGAAUUACUGGGCGUAAAGAGCGCGUAGGCGGCGCUGUACGACGCACGUGAAAGCCCCCGGCUCAACCGGGGAGGGUCGUGCGUAACGGCAGUGCUAGGGUGCAGGAGAGGGGAGUGGAACUCCGGGAGUAGCGGUGAAAUGCGUAGAUACCCGGAGGAACACCAGUGGCGAAGGCGGCUCCCUGGUCUGCGACCGACGCUGUGGCGCGAAAGCUGGGGGAGCGAACGGGAUUAGAUACCCCGGUAGUCCCAGCCGUAAACGAUGGACACUAGGUGUACGCGGUAUCGACCCCGUGUGUGCCGGAGCAAACGCAGUAAGUGUCCCGCCUGGGGAGUACGGCCGCAAGGCUA